GUGUAAUAUUUGGGUAUUUAGUUGUAUAUAAUUAUAAGGAAAAACUUCAAAAACCCCCCCUGUGGUUUCGUAGUUUCUCACUUUGCCGCCCUGUGGUUUAAAAUGUAUCAAUUUGCCCCCAUAUGAUUUUAUUUUUCUCUUUUUCUUAUCAAUUUUAUUAUUUUUUUUUCUUAAAUCAGUAAUAAAGUUAAAAUUUAAGGGUACUAAAGUGAAUAUUUGAUAAAUCUAGAUGGAUAUCUAAAAUUUUUUGUAUAUAAUUUAACGAAAUAUUAACGAAAAAGCUACCGAAAAGAUAAAAACGAAACCACAGGGGGGCAAAUUGAUACACUUUAAACCACAGGGGGGCAAAGUGAGAAACUACGAAACCACAGAGGGGGUUUUUGAAGUUUUCCCUAAUUAUAAUUGCAUUAUAAUUAUAAUUAUAUAUAAAUAAAAAUUUGAUAUUUAGUUAAUUUAUUAAUCUCAACUGCUGUAGUAAAAAUUACAGGAAAAAGGCUUAACUGCAGAGGCUGAAAGUUGGAACUACGCUUAAAUUGACUGUAGUUUCAACUAUAAUAGUUAAAGAAAAUAACUUUAAGCAAAAUACAAAUUUAGCUCCUUAAUUAUUUUUUAAAUAAAAAAUAUUUUUUUUAUAUAUUCUUUAUAUAUCGGAGGUAAUCUUAGUAUUAUAUAUAUAAAAUAAUAAAAUUUUAAAAUUCAUUUUUCAACUUCAUGCAACUAAAUAAAUUAUUAGAAAAACUUCAAAUAUGGCCCAUAUGAUUUCACACUUUUUUAUUUUAGUAUGUGGUUUAAAGUAUAUUAAUUUAGUAUCCCGUGGUUUCAUUUUUCUCAUUUUAUUAUUUCUUUCACUAAUUUUUUUCGUUAAAUUAGUGACAAAGUUAAAACUAAAAGAUACUAAAGUGAAUAUUCGAUAAACCUAGUAGGGUAUCUGAAGUUUUUUGUAUAUAAUUUAAUGACAUGUUAAAAGAGAAGCUGACAAAAAGAAAAAAAAUGAAAUCACAAGAUACUAAAUUGAUAAACUUUAAACCACAUCGUACUAAAAUGAAAAAGUACGAAACCACAGGGGUGGAAUUUGAAGUUUAUCCUAAAUUAUUUAUAGUUGUAGCGCUUUCUACUACAUCUAAGCAAACAAAAUAUAUAUAGUUAUAAUUGCUGCAUUUUCAACUGCAUGCAUCUUCAAUUAUACUGUAAUUAUAAUUACAUCUAACCAAGUAAUUCCUCACACUACAUCAUUUAUUAUCCGUCAAUUAUAUUUUUUUUAAAAAGUAUUAUUAAUAUUUUUUAAAAAUAUAAUAAUGAAAACGGAUAAAAUUUAGGACAGCUUUUUAAUUAGUUGGAAGUAU
rnacentral:lncRNA from 1 species